UACGUAGGGUGCGAGCGUUGUCCGGAAUUACUGGGCGUAAAGAGCUCGUAGGUGGUUUGUCGCGUUGUUCGUGAAAACUCACAGCUUAACUGUGGGCGUGCGGGCGAUACGGGCAGACUGGAGUACUGCAGGGGAGACUGGAAUUCCUGGUGUAGCGGUGGAAUGCGCAGAUAUCAGGAGGAACACCGGUGGCGAAGGCGGGUCUCUGGGCAGUACUGACACUCAAGUGCGAAAGCGUGGGGAGCAAACAGG
rnacentral:rRNA from 1 species